UAUCGCGCUACUACACUAUCGAUGGUUCAAUGUUUCGAUAGUGGUCGAUAGCAUGGUUUACCCAUCAGUAAAGAAAAUUUGUGCGCAUUUAUUCAAAAGAAAGAAAUGGAUCGCUUCUUUCAAAAAGGCAAACGUCGCAGUUCUGCAGCGAAUUGCGAGUGCAGCAGCACCGAAAGCGAAAAAAGUUCUGCAACCGAAAAAUCGACAAAGAAGAAAAAUAAAAUUUCGGAUGUAUGGAAGUGUUUCCAAAAGUCUGAUGACAGGAAAUUCGCCAAGGGCCUCAAUUGCAACAAGGAGUAUAAGACCAGUGGAAACACUUCAAACUUGCAUGACCACCUAGCUAGGUUCCCCCCGAAUUUGAGGAGCCAUACUCCCGAUUCCGGCAUACCAGCUGCAGAUGCUUGUACUGACAGCGAAAACAUUGCAUCUACAAGCAGCAGUUGCAGAUCGAGUAUGCGGUCAAUGGAGUCGUGUUUUAAAAGAGCUGUUGUUUAUGACGCAAACUCCAAGCGAAAAAAAGAUAUUGAUAAAGUUUUAACAGAGAUGGUUGCAAAAGAUGUGCAGCCCUUUAGUAUCGUUGAGAACGAAGGCUUUAUCAAAUAUUCCCAAGUUAUGGAUCCACGAUACAAACUUCCCAGCCGGACACAUUUGAGAGACGUCAUGAUGGCCAAUCUCUUUAAAGAGAUUUUUGGAGGAGAUUUCUGACAUUGCUAUUACAUGCGACUUGUGGACAUCAAGUGCCAACUCGAGCUUGUUAACCGUCAAGGGCCAUUUCGUGCAUGAAUAUGAAAUCAAAACCGCAUCGUUAGCCACAAGGAAACUGAAAGAUGCAACCAAUCACUCAGCGCAAAAUAUUGCAGACACCUUAAAGGAUAUAUUGACAUCUUGGAAUGUCUUGGAUAAAACGGUUUGUAUUGUAACUGACAAUGCCAGCUCAAUGCUAAAAGCAUGUGAAAACUUAAAGAUCAGAAAUCUGCCAUGUUGCGCCCACACCAUUAAUUUGGUGGUCCAAGAUGGUUUAAAGCUUGACCAUGACGAUGUUUCAAAAGCUUUAUUUUCAAAAUGUAAAACCAUAGUGAGGUUUUUCAAACAAAGUUCUAUUGAGAACGAAAAAUUAAAAUUAGUUCAGGAAAAUUUCGCAGAGAAUUUCGAGAAUAUUAGCAAAAUGCUUUAUUGGAGUCGAUCAAAAAACGCCUAUAGGAUGGCCACGAUAUUAGAUCCGCGCUUCAAGAAAGAUGGAUUUCAGCUCAACUCAAAUGCUGAACAAGCUUCAGUCUUUCUUGAAAAUGAAUUGGUCAAUUUGGCAAAUAUUGAAAACGCAGUUAACUUGUUGAAGCAAACACUACAACAGACGACGCAUUUUUUGAUUUUUUGGACCAACGAUCCAUUAGUAAGAAAAGGAAUGUGCGAUCGGAUGCGAUCAUAAUCAAAAGGCAGUAUCUUGCCCCCCAAGAAAUGGAUCCUUUAUUAUGGAUUAAGGUCAACCAAACAGACUUUCCAUUACUAAAAUCAUUGAUAUUUAAAUAUUUAUGCAUCCCAGCUACUUCUGUGGAGUCGGAAAGGGUUUUUAGCAAGGCAGGGCAAAUUGUCUCUGAUAGACGAACAAGGCUCAAGGAAGAAAAUGUAAACG